GAUGAAGAACGUAGCGAAAUGCGAUAAGUAGUGUGAAUUGCAGAAUUCAGUGAAUCAUCGAAUGUUUGAACGCACAUUGCGCCCUUUGGUAUUCCUUAGGGCAUGCCUGUUCGAGCGUCAUUUAAACCUUCAAGCUAAGCUUGGUGUUGGGUGACUGUCCGCUUCACGGCGGACUCGCCUCAAAAUUAUUGGCGGCCGGUACAUUGGCUUCGAGCGCAGCAGAAACGCGAACUCGGGCCCGUCGUAUUGGCUCCCAGAAGCUAUCUUCACAAUUUUGACCUCGGAUCAGGUAGGGAUACCCGCUGAACUUAAGCAUAUCAAUAAGCGGAGGA
rnacentral:misc_RNA from 1 species